rnacentral:rRNA from 1 species
GGGCAAGUCUGGUGCCAGCAGCCGCGGUAAUUCCAGCUCCAAUAGCGUAUAUUAAAGUUGUUGCAGUUAAAAAGCUCGUAGUUGAACUUCGGGAUCAAUGGGUUGGUCAUGCCCUCGGUAUGUACUGACCUCAUUGGUUCUCACCUUCUAAGGAACCAUGAUGUCAUUCAUUUGAUGUUGUGGGGAAUUAGGACUGUUACCUUGAAAAAAUUAGAGUGUUUAAAGCAGGCUAACCGCUUGAAUACAUUAGCAUGGAAUAAUGAAAUAGGACAUCGCAUUCUAUUUUGUUGGUUUCUAGGAUC